rnacentral:rRNA from 1 species
AUGGCCUGCGUCGGAGCCACGGCGGCCGUGUGCUACGGGGCGUGGAGGUACUACAGGUACAAGACCUGCCUGCGCACCUACGGCCGGGACCUGACGGCCUUGGCCAGCAAGCAGCGCGACCCGGUGGUGCCCGUGCACCGCGAUGACAAGGUCGACCCGGUGCCAGUGGUGCGCCGCGAUGACGAACGAAAUUCGGGCCACAACGCCGCCUACUACCGGGACAUGAGUCACAAGGCGGUCACGGCCGGCGAGGCUGACCCGGUGGUCGGCCGCGACGACGAGAUCGACCGCGUCGUCCGCAUCCUCUGCCGCCGGACCAAGAACUGCGCCGCGCUUGUCGGCGCCGCGGGGGUGGGCAAGACGGCCGUCGCCGAGGGCCUCGCGCAGCGCAUCGCCGAGGGGAAGGUGCCCAAGCAGCUCGCCGGCGCGCGCCUGGUGGAGCUCGACCUCGCGGCCAUGGUGGCAGGGACCAGGUGGCGCGGCAUGUUCGAGGAGCGCAUGAAGAACGUGAUCAGCUCCGCCGAGGCGUCCAACGGCAAGAUCAUCCUCUUCAUCGACGAGAUGCACACGCUCGUCGGCGCCGGCGACUACCAGCGCCGAAACGACGCCGCCAACAUGCUAAAGCCGGCGUUGGCCCGUGGCCGCAUCCGUUGCGUCGGCGCCACCACGUUCGACGAGUACCGGAAGCACAUCGAGAAGGACCCCGCCCUGGAGCGGCGAUUCCAGAAGGUGCACGUCGACGAGCCGAGCGAGCAGGCCACCAUUGGCAUCCUCCGUGGUCUAAAGCAGCGCUACGAAGAGCACCAUGGUCUGCAAAUUCAGGAUGCUGCAAUUGUUGCCGCUGCACAGCUCGCUGGCCGCUAUGUCACCGGCCGACAAUUUCCUGACAAGGGAAUUGAUCUCAUUGACGAGGCUUGCACCAGCAGCCUAGAGGGGAGUGAGAUGAUUGUUGGUCCGGAUCACAUUGCACAGGUAGCCAUACUUCUUAAAAUUCAUAUAUAUGUCUAUUAUUUUAACAGAUAUAUGCAUGUUGUGAGCCGAUGGACAGGCAUUCCUAUAGCUACACUUGAUCAAGAUGAGAAGGUCAAGUUAGUCCAUUUAGCGCACAGAUUGCAUGAGCGAGUAGUUGGACAAUAUGAGGCUGUCAAUUUGGUUGCAGAUACGGUGUUGUGUUCUAGGGCCGGUCUUGAUCAUCCUGGUCAACCAAUAGGCUCCUUCCUAUUUGUGGGUCUGACUGGUGUUGGAAAGACAGAGCUUGCAAAAGCUCUCGCCGAGCAGCUAUUCGAUGAAGAGAAGAUGUUGAUUCGCUUUGACAUGUCUGAAUAUGUUAGCCCCGGAUCUGUCCUGCGUCUCGUUGGAGCACCACCAAGCUAUUUGGGCUACGAAGAAGGUGGGCAACUAACUGAGAAAGUUAGGAGACGGCCAUACAGUGUUAUCCUUUUUGAUGAGGUGGAAAAGGCGCAUCACUCGGUGUUGAAUGUUUUGCUCCAGCUGCUUGAUGAUGGCGUGGUGACCGAUGGUAAAGGUCGGAAUGUGGAUUUCAAGAACACGGUCAUCAUUAUGACAUCAAAUGUCGGAGCACAGCACAUAACACCGGGAAUAGCCGGAGAAAACACACUGCGAACCGCACGAGACCUUCUCAUGAAACAAGUUCGGAAAUACUUCAAGCCAGAACUCCUCAACAGACUAAGCGAGAUUGUGAUAUUCGAGCCGCUUUCCCACCACCAGCUGAAGGAAAUCGUGAAUAUCCAGAUGAAGGAGAUCAUUGUUAGAGUGGCCAGCAAGGGUAUAUCUCUAGUUUUGAAGGACGCCGCAUUGGAUGUGAUUUUGUCAGAGUCAUACAACCUAAUGUACGGUGCAAGGCCUAUAAAGAGGUGGGUCGAAAAGAAUAUAAUCACAAUUAUCUGCCAGAUGCUGGUGAACGGGGAAGCCGAUGAAGACUCGAUAAUCACCAUUGAUGCUGCCAUGGACAAGAAGGGGUUGAAGUACCAAGUGGCGAAAAAUGAAACCGCAGCCGACUUGGUUUGA